AGAGUUUGAUCAUGGCUCAGAACGAAACCAGGCGGCAUGCCUAACACAUGCAAGUCGAACGAGACCUUCGGGUCUAGUGGCGCACGGGUGCGUAACGCGUGGGAAUCUGCCCUUUGCUUCGGAAUAACAGUUAGAAAUGACUGCUAAUACCGGAUGAUGUCGAAAGACCAAAGAUUUAUCGGCAAAGGAUGAGCCCGCGUAGGAUUAGGUAGUUGGUGGGGUAAAGGCCUACCAAGCCGACGAUCCUUAGCUGGUCUGAGAGGAUGAUCAGCCACACUGGGACUGAGACACGGCCCAGACUCCUACGGGAGGCAGCAGUGGGGAAUAUUGGACAAUGGGCGAAAGCCUGAUCCAGCAAUGCCGCGUGAGUGAUGAAGGCCUUAGGGUUGUAAAGCUCUUUUACCAGGGAUGAUAAUGACAGUACCUGGAGAAUAAGCUCCGGCUAACUCCGUGCCAGCAGCCGCGGUAAUACGGAGGGAGCUAGCGUUGUUCGGAAUUACUGGGCGUAAAGCGCACGUAGGCGGCUACUCAAGUCAGAGGUGAAAGCCCGGGGCUCAACCCCGGAACUGCCUUUGAAACUAGGUAGCUAGAAUCUUGGAGAGGUCAGUGGAAUUCCGAGUGUAGAGGUGAAAUUCGUAGAUAUUCGGAAGAACACCAGUGGCGAAGGCGACUGACUGGACAAGUAUUGACGCUGAGGUGC
rnacentral:rRNA from 1 species